GCAUGGGUGGCUCAGUUGUUAAGCGUCUGACUUCAACUCAGGUCAUGAUCUCACAGUUUAUGGGUUCGAGCCCCAUGUCAGGCU
rnacentral:tRNA from 1 species